rnacentral:rRNA from 1 species
GUGUACGCCCAUAGCCCGUUGAAAGCACGCCAUCCCGUCCGAUCUGGCAAGUUAAGCAACGGUGCGCUUGUUUAGUACUUGGAUCGGAGACGUCCUUGGAAUUCAAGUGGCGUACGCA